rnacentral:rRNA from 1 species
GUUUGAUCCUGGCUCAGAAUCAACGCUGGCGGCGUGCCUAACACAUGCAAGUCGAACGCGAAAGCCCUUUCGGGGGUAAGUAGAGUGGCGUCCGGGUGAGUAACACGUGGGUAAUCUGCCUCCGGGUGGGGAAUAACUCGCCGAAAGGUGAGCUAAUACCGCAUAAUGCAGCGGCACCAAAUGGUGAAUAGUUGUUAAAGCGGGGGACCCUUCGGGGCCUCGCGCCUGGAGAGGAGCCUGCGGCAGAUUAGCUAGUUGGUGGGGUAAUGGCUCACCAAGGCUUCGAUCUGUAGCUGGUCUGAGAGGACGGCCAGCCACACUGGCACUGACACACGGGCCAGACUCCUACGGGAGGCAGCAGUGGGGAAUUUUGGGCAAUGGGCGCAAGCCUGACCCAGCAACGCCGCGUGAGGGAGGAAAUCCUUCGGGAUGUAAACCUCACAAGCAAGGGAAGAGCGCUACAGGUCGAAUAAGCCUGUAGUCCGACGGUACCUGCUUAGCACCUU